GCCGAGUCGUGAGCCUUCUCCGUGUCUAGGAACUCUGAUUGUGGCUAGCAGACGGGCUCGGUGCCCCCCAUUCCCCCUCCAGGACGCGGUGUGUGCCGCUGCGGGUCCGGCUCGGUCUGCCACGCUGCUGCGCUGUCAGAGUAUCUUGAGGAACCAGUGGGUGCUAACCUUGCGGAGUAAUUCACGGAUCUUCUCGGCAUCCUUUGCUGCGUAGAUGUGCCAGAGAGCUCCGGGUUUCUCUUUCCCCUCGUGUACCCGUCUCUUUGUCAUGUCGUCCACAUCGCCCUCCUCGAUGGUGGUCAUGACCUCUGAAGAACCAAAGAGAGGAAACAAGACAGAGACAUAUAGAAUGCCAAACGUCCAUCAAAAUGAAAACUCGUAAGGGGAUUUGAUGUUGACAUCAACACUAACACCAGCAGAGGAGAAGCAUGAGGAGGAGGAAGAUGAGGAGGGAAGAAGGAGAAACACGAUGGAUGCCUGCACAGACUUUCUGCUUGGUCACAAAAAAUACUAUUUGUAAAAAACAAAAACUGUCUCAGUAACAUAAAGGCAUCACAGGACUGAGGACGCCUUCCACACGCAGUAUACCUUGACGUGUGAAAGCCAACCUGGAUGAAGGCUAACGCUCCAGUGGUUAGUUUGUGAAGUAAAAUUAAAACAACUAUAUGUUUUGAAGAUUUGUCAAAUAUAUAUGUAUUCUGUGGCCAGACCAGUUGAGAACCACAAAGGCAAAAGGACAAUUUACAGACUACACAAUCACAUUUACUGACAACUUUCACAUCCACAGUCUACUCUUGAUUUCUAGAUGAAACUACAGCCUGUUAACAUGACAUUUUGACUGAACAAUAUUUUUGGAAAGAAGUAAAAACAUUUAAUUUGAAAUUAGUGAGUAACAAUGCCCACACUGAAGAGUGUUGUGGUUUGCACAACUUGAUUUGGAAAAAAAGAAGAAGAAAAAAAUCAGGUAUCGGGAGUUUGCAGCUGGCGAGUAACGGGUCUGUAAUUCAUCAAUUAUCAUAUAAUAAACUUCAUACUACCCAUCA